rnacentral:rRNA from 1 species
UACGUAGGGUGCAGGCGUUAAUCGGAAUUACUGGGCGUAAAGCGUACGCAGGCGGUUUGCUAAGACAGGUGUGAAAUCCCCGGGCUUAACCUGGGAACUGCGCUUGUUACUGGCAAGCUAGAGUGUGGCAGAGGGGGGUAGAAUUCCAGGUGUAGCAGUGAAAUGCGUAGAUAUCUGGAGGAAUACCAAUGGCGAAGGCAGCACUCUGGGACGGUACUGACGCUGAGACGCGAAAGCGUGGGGAGCAAACAGG